AGCAGAGUGGCGCAGGGGGGAGCGCGCGGGGCUCAUAACCCCGAGGUCGUAGGAUCGAAACCUACUUCUGCUA
rnacentral:tRNA from 1 species